CAAACUCGCGACCACAACAUUACAAAAAUACUGCUACAACGCUCUUCUUGAUUUCUUCAUCCUACGAUUGCCGCGAACCCAACGCAAAUCCCGACCUCCGCCGUAGAGCCCGUAUCGAACCAGGAAUAGAAUGCCGUGCACACUUGACUCGAGAGAGAGAACCAGAAGUGCCACUCGCCGGGCGAAUAAUUGGCUUGAUAGUCAACUGAUUCAACACGAUCCCUCGGUUGCGUCAUAUUUUUGCGCCGAAAUUCUUGCAUUAUCGCAAACACGCCGGGUCAAAUUUGGCAAGCCUCGUGUCGUGUGGUGGGAUGCAAACGCAGCACAAAACAUGUCAAGAAUAAGCCAGAUAUUGUUAACAAACAACAGCUUUGAAGGAGUCUGUGACGCAAAAAACUGAAAACGAUGAUAAGUAUUGUAGGACGCUCUGUUCAAGAAUGAUGAAAAGGCUUUGGUACGAUUGGUGAUACCGGUUCGAAUCGGUUCGGGUGUAGAUUGCUCCUGCCUGCCGGUCUGAAAACUUCUGUAACCGGUUAUCAUCGUCGCGACUGCCAGAGUAGUGAGUAUAGAGCGGAAGCAAAAACCGACCAACAAACCAACCAACCGGGCAGCAAUCGUCACUGUACGACAGCCCCCCGUGUCCCUGAACUGUGAGCGUGCCCCGAACCAGAUUGCGAAUGGUGGUACGACCGAGGGAUUAUCAAUUUAUUGCACAAACGCUUGAUGUUAAGGUUUGUUGUUUCUUUCUUUUUUCUUGCACCAUACCGGCAACCAUAUUGAAAUGCAGCCAUUAUUGUUUUGAAAGUAGCGAUCAAGUGCAAUAGCUCUUACGACCAUGAUGAAGGAUGCUCGAGAAAUAAACCAUUAAAGAAAUAAACGGAUGAGGAGGAAUAAAUUAUUGAACAUUCCAAUAAAGCUUGAAAAUACAGUGAAGUACCUCUCUACUAUGAAUCUUCAACGAAUUCUUCUGAGAGAAACUAAUUCAACUUAUUGGUAUGGAGUAUACAAACCAUCCAGUGUUGAAAUAUGAUUGACAUUAAGUGUUGGUGAAUGUAGGUCGCCAAAACGCAUGUACAACUUUAAGAAAUUCGCGUUAGGAAAGGAAUAAUCUACGAGGGACACAUUUUAUGGGACAUCACGGAACCGUUUAAAUGUCUAUCUUAAAGAAACAAUUCAUCUUGCAGAGACAACACCUUAGAGCCCUUAAAUUUUAAAUGUAAAAUAUAAUUCAAGUUAUUUUUCUAUAGGUCUCUGCUAUAAAGUACAAAAUAUUCCUUUGCUGUGCCAGAAUUAUGACAUUCUUCUUCAAACUCGUUU